UUGAUUCAAUUGAACUUAAAUUUUUUUCAGUGUAUUGUUCGACUUGUUAACUCGAAGAUAAUAUUGUCAAAUAACCCAAACAAACUAAAACUCAGUAAUAAGUAAAUUUAUUUAAAAAAAAAAAAAAGAAUUAGAAGCGAUUAAGUAGUUGAUUUACGCUUCGUACAAAAUGCUUGAUGUUUAUGAUUAUAAGUAUAUAGUUUGCGACAGUAUAAAGUAACGAGGAGGACUAUUCUACGAACAUAAACCCAUGCCAGUGAAACGACGACACUUGUACAACAUGAUUUAUACACCUUAGGUUACAUACUAGAAAAACGAUAAUUGGCUGGGAGCACACAGAUAUUAAUUUACGUCUAAUGGAAGAUUUAUUGAUGGUUAAGAAACGUCGAUGCAGUUGAAAAAAGUCACUGCUAAUUUGAAACAAAUGUCUGUAAUAUUUUAAAAAUACAACUUGAGCCAUAUUGAAUUUUUACCACACAUAUCUUUUGAGUGUUACAUUUUUACAAAUUAUCAGAGACAGCAAGCGAAGAGAAACAAAAUAAUGACGGGUAGUAAUUAUAUGAAAAACUAUGAGUACGCCCAAAGGAGCCUAGAAUUACUCAAAAAUAAUACUAAACGAUGUAACAUAUGAAAUUAUCUCGAUUUCUUCUUGAGUGAAGUAUAAAUAAAUAUAAUACAACUUUGAAAAGAGAAGUUAGAGGAUAUACUUAGCAGGAUUGACGUAUUUCCUAACACGGUAACAACUGUUAGUUGAGUUUCAUAAAUAUUUUUUAGUGGCUUAAUGCUUUUUUAAUUAAUCGUUGUACUGCACUCGUAUCGGACACAUGCAUUUUAAGAAAUUCCUCGCGUCCAAGUCAUUAGUAUUAUUAUUACUUGGACGCAGAGGUCUGAGCUGAGACUCUUAAUGCGAUCACGAGUUGCAACGACGUUAAAUGUUGUAGAAAAUCGCGUGAGUGCUUUAUCACAUGUAUAAUGCUAAUAUAUAUACUUAUUUCUGGUUGAUCGAUUGCGAAAUGUUGUUUUAUGUACUUGAAAACAUUGAGGUAACGUUAGUCUCCCAUUAAUUUUGUUUUUACUUCACAGAGAAAUCCAUUUUGUGGUUAAUUGACAUUUUUUUUAUUUAUUGACAUUA